GCACUUCGGCAGUACGUAUACUAAUAUUGUAACGAUACAGAGAAGAUUAGCUGGCUCAGGAGCAGGUAUGACAAGUAAAAUCGUGAUGCGUUUCAUAUUUAU